GGUACCGUACCAGAAACUUGUCCUCGGUAUCAAACAUCCUGAAGUACAAGACGGUUUAUACCUUACCUUUCAUAGGUAAGAAACCUGAUACGUUCGUGGUGAUGGUACUGAGUUUGAACCACGGUACUAGUACUAGCUGUGCUGAGUGCGAUUGUUACACGCAUAUAAAUGUGAACUCAAUUCAGACUACUCUCUCGCCACA
rnacentral:RNase_P_RNA from 1 species